rnacentral:rRNA from 1 species
UACGUAGGUGGCAAGCGUUGUCCGGAAUUAUUGGGCGUAAAGGGCUCGUAGGCGGCCAACUAAGUCAGACGUGAAAUCCCCAGGCUCAACCUGGGAACUGCGUCUGAUACUGGAUGGCUUGAAUCCGGGAGAGGGAUGCAGAAUUCCAGGUGUAGCGGUGAAAUGCGUAGAUAUCUGGAGGAAUACCGGUGGCGAAGGCGGCAUCCUGGACCGGCAUUGACGCUGAGGAGCGAAAGCCAGGGGAGCAAACGGG